GGUAUCCCGGCGGAUACGGCAGCGACGGAGGGCGAGAAAAGGAGGAGCUUGGCCUCGUCUAUCGUAUGCUUCUGUAUCCGGUGACACUCCGCCAUGGUCCUCCACAUGCUUGCUAACCUGCGCCGCAAUACAAAGGAAAGGGACUGCACGAGAUUCCUCCAUGUGUGAAGAUGUUGAAGGAGCCAUAGCAGCUGGAUUCAACAUCCUUGAAACUGUAUCAGAAGAUAAAAAUAACGAGGUUCCUACAUAUUAUUGUUAUCAGAGAGCAGGCUUGAUGUACCCACCUUGUAGCGAGGAUGAAGAGGGUUGAGUGCUGCUGACUUCGAAGAAUGUAGAGAGUUCACUAGCAGAAUUGCAAAUUCUGACAAAUUGGGCUUCAAUAUCCUUCAUGACCUCUCCCAUGCUUGUUGGUCUUCUGUUUAUGUAAACAGUGAAACCGGGAGUUUCCUGUGAGCUAUUUCUAUCUCUGACAAUUCCCUGAUCAUUAUCGAUUAGGAGUUCUGCUGCAUUUUGAGUUUCUGAUACUUCAGUACUCCUCUGCCAACCUUGCAACCAGAAUUCCUUCAUAUCAUCCAUAUUUUCUUUCUGUUUAUAGGCAUCAGCUGGUUGUUUACCAGCAGUGGGCUUAAUAUUAAUCUUACCCCCCUUCUUCAUUCGUGCCUUCUCAUUCUUGUCAGCCUGUCCUUCCAGUGCAGGUACCCCUUCAUCUUCCCAAAUCUUCCUUUGCCCAUGGGUAUUACCAUCAAGCAGAACCUCAUCAAGACUGUUCCCAUAGGAGUAUCCAUAAGAUGAGAAUGGGUUCCAAAAGAAGUCCAAUUGUGAAGCCUGAGGUGAUGCUGGUGGAUGCCUCAGUCUUUCAUAUGGUGAGGAGAGGAAUGAGGCAUCUGCAUCCGUGGUCGGAGCCUCUGCAGCAAAGUAUCCAUCGGCACCAUUCUGCCAUGCGAUAUAACAGCAUUCCUUGCUCUUAUUUGCUGGUGACUCAUGCCGUUCCUCCACGGAGAUCAGUGGAUUCCCUCCUGCUUUCAUGUAAUUCGGUGAAGAACAGGAAGUGAAGAAGAAAUUAUAUUCAUCACCAUCAACAUAAUUACGUAGAGCAAGGGAGACUCGCAUCAGAGACUGGAUGUAGGCAGUGUGGCCAUCAGCAAAUCGGUCUCUCUGCUCGAUAGCUUGUCUGAUGAAGUUCUUCCUGUCAUGGCAGAGCCGGACGGCAUCUUCAUCCUCCAGCUUGGAAGUCGAACAUCCCAUCUUCAACUUCAGCCUUGAACCCAAGACAGACUCAGUGUGGGUAAGCCAGUGAUGCUUCACUGAAGCUUUGCAAACUUAAAAAAGGAAGAGAAACAAUUUAUCAGAUGCUGUGCUUCUUCAAGUUAUGAAACAGAGCUAUCAAGGAAAUCAAGUUUAUCUACGGGAACAAAGCAACCCAUCCUUUUCAGGAUUUCUAGCCCAGACCUUGUCAAAAACACCAGAGAAAGGCGGUCAGGAGCUGAUGAAAAGAUCCAGAGGAGAGAAGUAACACUCAUGUCACUAGAUUUUCCAUGUAAAUCUUCACGGGAUUUCAAGAGACAAAUCCGAAGAGUGUUCCUGACAAUUUUAUGCAAAGAACGUCUACACAGCUCAAGGGACUGUCUGUUCUCGUGGGAAAGAACAAGUGAAGAACACACCAACAGAAUUUGGAAAAGCCAAGGGGGAAAAAGUGAGAUCUUGGACAUGCACGACGAGCAAAAGAGAGAAAAAGAUUCGGC